GAUGAACGCUGGCGGCGUGCUUAACACAUGCAAGUCGAACGUGAGAGGUAGCAAUAUCUUGAAAGUGGCGAACGGGUGAGUAACACGUAGGUAACCUGCCUCGGAGUGGGGGAUAACAGUUAGAAAUGACUGCUAAUACCGCAUGAAUCCAUGGAUUAGGGAUAAUCGGUGGAGAAAACUCUGGUGCUUCGAGAGGGGCCUGCGGCCGAUUAGCUAGUUGGUGGGGUAAAGGCCUACCAAGGCGACGAUCGGUAGCUGGUCUGAGAGGACGAUCAGCCACACGGGAACUGAGACACGGUCCCGACUCCUACGGGGGGCAGCAGUGAGGAAUAUUGGGCAAUGGGCGGAAGCCUGACCCAGCAACGCCGCGUGGAGGAAUGAAGGCCUU
rnacentral:rRNA from 1 species